AUUGAACGCUGGCGGCAGGCUUAACACAUGCAAGUCGAGCGAGCGGCGGACGGGUGAGUAAUGUCUGGGAAACUGCCUGAUGGAGGGGGAUAACUACUGGAAACGGUAGCUAAUACCGCAUACCAUCAGAUGUGCCCAGAUGUGAUUAGCUAGUAGGUGGGGUAAUGGCUCACCUAGGCGACGAUCCCUAGCUGGUCUGAGAGGAUGACCAGCCACACUGGAGCUGCGACACGGUCCAGACUCCUACGGGAGGCAUCAGGGGAGAAUAUUGCACAGUGGGCGCAAGCCGGAUGCAGCGAUGCCGCGUGUGUGAAGACGUCCUUCGGGUUGCAAAGCACUUUCAGCGAGGAGGCGUUACUCGCAGAAGAAGCACCGGCUAAAUCCGUGCCAGCAGCCGCGGUAAGUC
rnacentral:rRNA from 1 species